rnacentral:snoRNA from 1 species
AACCCAUGGUGAGGGCACCUUCUUAAUAGAUCCUUGUAUCUCUCCCAUGCAUCAUAGGGUGUUUCUAAAUCCAUCCGCACAAAAGAAGAAAUAUCAUUCCUUAAUUU